AACGAACGCUGGCGGCGUGCCUAACACAUGCAAGUCGAGCGCGAAUCCUUGCUUCGGCAGGGUAGUAGAGCGGCGAACGGGUGCGUAACACGUGAGUCAUUUGCCCUCAAGAAGGGGAUAACGUACCGAAAGGUUCGCUAAUACCCUAUAAGCUCCCGGAGGUUCGUGCCUCUGUGAGAAAAGGUUGCGAAGUCGCUUGAGGAGAAGCUCGCGUCCCAUUAGCUAGUUGGUGAGGUAACGGCUCACCAAGGCGACGAUGGGUAGCUGGUCUAAGAGGAUGAUCAGCCACACUGGGACUGAGACACGGCCCAGACUCCUACGGGAGGCAGCAGUGGGGAAUCUUGCGCAAUGGGCGAAAGCCUGACGCAGCAACGCCGCAUGAGCGAUGAAGGUCUUCGGAUCGUAAAGCUCUGUCCUGGGGAACGAAAAGCAGGUGAAGAGCCUGCGCUGACGGUACCCCAGAAGAAAGCACCGGCUAACUCUGUG
rnacentral:rRNA from 1 species